rnacentral:rRNA from 1 species
UACGUAGGGGGCUAGCGUUGUCCGGAAUCAUUGGGCGUAAAGCGCGUGUAGGCGGCCCGGUAAGUCCGCUGUGAAAGUCGGGGGCUCAACCCUCGGAUGCCGGUGGAUACUGUCGGGCUCGAGUACGGAAGAGGCGAGUGGAAUUCCUGGUGUAGCGGUGGAAUGCGCAGAUAUCAGGAGGAAUACCCAUAGCGAAGGCAGCUCGCUGGGACGGUACUGACGCUGAGACGCGAAAGCGUGGGGAGCAAACAGG